rnacentral:rRNA from 1 species
UACGUAGGGUGCAAGCGUUAUCCGGAUUUACUGGGCUUAAAGGGCGCGUAGGCGGAUAUGUAAGUCAGUUGUGAAAUCUCCAGGCUUAACCUGGAAAUUGCCGUUGAUACUGUAUAUCUUGAAUGCUGUGGAGGUAAGCGGAAUAUGUCAUGUAGCGGUGAAAUGCUUAGAUAUGACAUAGAACACCAGUGGCGAAGGCGGCUCGCUGGGCGAAUAUUGACGCUGAGGCGCGAAAGCGUGGGGAGCAAACAGG